CGGCUUAACUGUGGAAUGUCUGGUGAUACUGUUUGACUUGGGUACAGGAGAGGAGGGUGGAACUCACAGAGUAGCGGUGGAAUGCGUAGAUACUGUGAGGUACCCCGAUGGCGAAGGCAACCCUCUGGCCUGUUACCGACGCUGAAGCGCGAAAGCGUGGGGAGCGAAGGGGAUUAGAUACCCCCGUAGUCCACGCCGCAAACGAUGUUCACUGGGUGUCGGUCAUUAAUUAGAUCGGUGCCGGAGUUAACGCAUUAAGUGAACCGCCUGGGGACUACGGCCGCAAGGCUAAAACUCAAGAGAAUUGACGGGGCCCUGCACAAGCGGUGGAGCACGUGGUUUAAUUCGAUGAUAAGCGAAGAACCUUACCUGGGCUUGACAUGCUAGCAGUAGGAGCCAGAGAUGGUAACGACCCCUACCUUUGGUAGGGGAACUAGUACAGGUGAUGCAUGGCUGUCGUCAGCUCGUGUCGUGGGACGUUGGGUUAAGUCCCGAAACGAGCGCAACCCCUGUUGUUAGUUGCCAGCGGGUAAUGCCGGGGACUCUAACAAGACUGCUGGUGAAUAGCCGGAGGAAGGAGGGGAUGACGUCAAGUCAUCAUGUCCCUUAUGUCCAGGGCGACACACAUGCUACAAUGGGAGGUACAAUGGGCUGCUAAACCGCAAGGUCAUGCGAAUCCCAAAAAGCCUUCCUCAGUUCGGAUUGAGGUCUGCAACCCGACCUCAUGAAGCCGGAAUCGCUAGUAAUCGCAGGUCAGCCACACUGCGGUGAAUAUGUACUCAGGGCUUGUACACACCGCCCGUCACACCAAUCGAGUAGAGGGGACCUGAAGUCGUCUUACGGGCGCCUAAGGUAACUUCUGUAAGAGGGGUGAAGUCGUAACAAGGUAACCGU
rnacentral:rRNA from 1 species